AGUGGCGAACGGGUGAGUNACACGUAAGAAUCUACCCUUUGGUCUGGGACUACAUCGCGAGGGUGGUGCUAAUACCGGAUUAUAUCCACGGAUCAAAGAGGGCUUUGCCCUCACCAGAGGAGGAGCUUGCGCCCCAUUAGCUAGUUGGUGAGGUAAUGGCUCACCAAUGCUCCGAUGGGUAGCCGGUCUGAGAGGGUGUACGGCCACACUGGAACUGAGACACGGUCCAGACUCCUACGGGAGGCAGCAGUGGGGAAUAUUGGUCAAUGGGCGAAAGCCUGAAGGAGCAAUGCCGUGUGGGUGAUGAAGCUUCUAGGAGUGUAAAACCCUUUUAUGAGGGAAGAACGAAAUGCGGUUAAUAUCUGUAUUUCUUGACGGUACCUCAUGAAUAAGCCCCGGCUAACUCCGUGCCAGCAGCCGCGGUAACACGGAGGGGGCAAGCGUUGUUCGGAAUUACUGGGCGUAAAGGGCGUGUAGGCGGCCUAGCAGGUCAGAUGUGAAAUCCCCGGGCUCAACUCGGGAACUGCGUUUGAAACCGUCAGGCUUGAGGCUAGGAGAGGAAAGCGGAAUUCGUGGUGUAGCGGUGAAAUGCGUAGAUAUCAGGAGGAACACCGGUGGCGAAAGCGGCUUUCUGGACUAGUUCUGACGCUGAGGCGCGAAAGCGUGGGGAGCGAACGGGAUUUGAUACCCCGGUAGUCCACGCUGUAAACGAUGAAGACUAGGUGUAGCGGGUA
rnacentral:rRNA from 1 species